UACGAAGGGGGCUAGCGUUGCUCGGAAUCACUGGGCGUAAAGCGCACGUAGGCGGCUUCUUAAGUCAGGGGUGAAAUCCUGGAGCUCAACUCCAGAACUGCCUUUGAUACUGAGGAGCUCGAGUCCGGGAGAGGUGAGUGGAGCUCCGAGUGUAGAGGUGAAAUUCGUAGAUAUUAGGAAGAGCGCCGGUGGCGACGGCGGCCCACUGGUCCGGUACUGACGCUGAGGUGCGAAAGCGUGGGGAGCAAACAGG
rnacentral:rRNA from 1 species